rnacentral:misc_RNA from 1 species
CAACCCUCGAGCCCCUCCGGGGGGUCGGCGUUGGGGAUCGGCCCUCCCUCGCGGGGGCCGGCCCCGAAAUCCAGUGGCGGUCCCGCCGCAGCCUCUCCUGCGCAGUAGUUUGCACAACUCGCACCGGGAGCGCGGCGGGCACCAACGCCGUAAAACAACCCAAACUUUCCGAAA